UCAGCGCCCACAGGCGUGUUCGUGCCGGCGCGGGGGACCCCGCCCGGGCCGCCCCCGGGGCCGCUGCUGGCCGGAGCCGCUGGAAAACGUGUGUGGAGUGCCCCGGUGCGGAGCGCCCCGUGCGGCCCCGGGCAGCCCCCGGGCCCGGCAGGGACGUACCCAGGCUUUCUUUCCUGCGUUCUCCCGGUUGGUCUCUUCCGUCCUGGUAGGAGCCCAAGUCCCGCCACCGGGGCAGCAGCCAAAACCCACGCGUGGCUGCUUUGUCUCUCGCCUCUCGUACGCCUUGGGCAGCCACUCGUAGCUGGACCCCUUCGCCGUGGGGUCAGGUGUGUCCUGAUGCUGAUGCCAGGGGCUACUUUGGCGUCAGAAAUGUGCUUAUGAGAACAAACACCAGAACAUUACAUCCGAAGAACAGCGGGGAGAGAGACACCAAACAUUUAAAACUAGCAGAGCUGUCCUUUGUUUUUUUAAGUAAAAACAUCGGAAUCGGGGGAUUUCGAAGUUGCCAUUAUUAAACUGGAAGYAAUGGCCGGCGCUGUUGGUUGCAGGAGCCAGGGCCGAGCAGGGAAGUGGCGGGAGGGGAAGGCAGCCCUGACCUGUCGUGGGCUCCAGCACUUCCCGGGGAUCRCCGGUUCUGUGCCGGACAGCAGCGCUCCGCUGCCGGGUCGGGCACUCACCGAGUCCCACGUUUGCUCACUGUGGAACAGGACAUGUCUUUCCAGGCGCCGCCUAAAACAGCUGAAGUCAAUUUUGUUGUWAAUGUAAAUUUCAGGAGUCCUGGGCGGGUUCUUAAAAAGGCAGAUACAACACCGGCUUUGUGUAUCUUGGUUCCCUUGCUGUCAAAUUAGAAAAGGCAAACCCUGUAAUCAAACAAGAGUGUUUUGAAAAGUAUUCCUUCGUGAAACAGUGCUGGCACUUGAUGAGGAAGUUCAUUUGAUUUUCAUGCUUUUCAGCRAAGUCUUGAGCCACAACUUGAAAUAAAGGGAUAAAAAUAAACACUAAAUGUUCACUGAACGAUGCAAAGAGACAAAGACUAUGCCUGCCUAACUAGAGAAUGUUUCAUUCUAAGACAUUUUAAUUCUUAUUUAAAAAGUACUGUAAAAUUCAGAAGGAGCUGGGGGCAGUGGCCCGCUGCACGCCUCGGGUGCCAGAAGCGUUUGCUGCAGGAGAUCGCUGUCGCGGGGAGCAGCCGGCAGAGGGAGAUGGGAUGGGAUGCGCCUGUGCUGCAGCCUCGGACGCUCGCUUUUGGCUGAGGACGUUUCAGAUGAGAAAGAGAGAUUGUGAAGAACACACUUGAGUCAACAAAGAUUUUCCCGUAAGAAUCAAGUCCCCUGGAUGAUUUUCAAAUUUUGUCCUGGAAGAUCUUUGGGAUUUUUGGUACUGGUGAUCUUACUCAGAUCAGCUCUGAUGACACCUGCAACGUCGAUCACUUCCACCGUAGGAGUGUUCCCAUCAGGCCAUUCCUGCCUCUCUCUGACACGAAGAACUGAAGCUGAAAACUAAAUUUUUACUAUGGAAYGCAAUAGAAAUGACAGUUUGGUGAGUCUUCCAAAUCAGAAGAAGAAACCAGCACCAGCAGUGAGACGCCCUUGAAUGGAUGCUUCAAAGCUUUGAUCUUCUCUUCUGCGGAAGACCUGUGCCUAGCACGUGUCUGUGAUCUCAGGGAGGUUACAUGCACUCAACAACAGAGAUUACGUUAUGUGAAUGAGUUUGAUAGGAGUCACCAUGGUGAGGAAAGGAUAAUGGAAUUUCAGUAAACGUGAAGAAACCUCAUUGACGUCCAAUCAGAGGGAAUUUCAGCUCUCUACAUUGCCUUGGGUCUGCAAUCUUAUACACAGGAUCUGUUCAUGUAGGCUAAAUUCAGUACAGAGCAUUAAAUGCUGUCACUUUUGUAAUUAACAUCAGAGAGCUGYAUGAAGCCUUGAAGCUACUAAAUCCCAUAAGUCCUGUAGAAAAUGUUUCUUUAUACAGAUCUGAAGUGUUAUUCAAAGGAAUUCACCCUAAAAGAUGGAGAACUGCUGGGACAUGAAGAACAUAAAGYUCUAAGACUGUAUAUUGGAGAAACGUUCCCUCAGAAGUGUGCAUUUAGUCACCUUUGGUGACAUGCUGCCUUGCCUGCCACCUCUGCAAGCGUGGUCUCACUUUCACUGUUAUUGCAACAUGUGUCAAACGAAAUGAAAACAGAGAUUUGGGAAAGGAUAUAAUUAACCUACUUGUAAACAUUAACCUUAAAUAUCUUGCUAAUUAUCUCACUAAUUUAAUCACUGCAGAUUUCAAACUUGUUUGUUAAAUAUUUAAUUCUGUAAAUUGUUUUUGAUACAGAGGUGUGGGGAGCUUUCUGUGAGUAUAAGUUAGUCUGUAAAACUCAGUAAAACCAUUGUUAUGUUCACACUUCAUUGAACAAACCCUGCUGUCAACAAGACUUUUAAUGGAAAUCGCAAGAAGCUGUGCCCUGAGGCUAAGAGAUAUAGUGCCCUAUUAUUUUAAAAUCUAAUGAACACAUUGUGUGGAGUAUAGACCAAGGUAAAUUUCUUCCUGCACAUCUUCAGGUUUGAUUCCAUGGGAGUCUAGACUGGAAAGCUCUGGGUUUCCUUGUUUCUUYGGUUGCAGUGAAGCAGUACAGUUAUUUCUUACCUAUUCACCUCUUAGUUACUUGAGUAACUUAGCAAAAUUAUGUCCUUGAUUUUCAGCCCUUUUUAUCAAGUCCUUACCUUGUGCUACAAGGAACCUAAAAGGUGUUUAGAUACUCCUGUUACAAUGCCACCCAAUGUGUCUCUAAUUAUUYCUGUAAGGAAGCUGCUGGCGGUGUUUGUUGAGAAGCUGAAAUCUGUUUGUUCCUUCCUUGCGAUGGGAAGAGGGCUGUGCCAGGGGUGUUUGCAGGAGCAGCAGGAGCCAGGCAGGGUCUCGGGGACACGGCUGGCUGUGCAGGCUGGCAGGGGGAACAGGCAGCUCUGGGUGCUGGAGAACAUCCCAUGAGGAGUGAGUGGCUGAGGCAGGACAAGCUCAGGAGUCACCCCAAUCCUCUGUCCAUGAGAAGGCAGAGUCCUCAGCUGUGCUGUGCCUCCCCUCACACAGGAGCUUUGGCCAGCCCCUGUUUCAGGCUGUACCCCCGUGGCAGUUCUUGGGCACUGCCGUUCUCUCCGUUUUUGUAACAUUUGUUCUCCUAAUUGAGGAAGAAGGUAAAAAGAUUGGGGCUCACAYUGUGUUUCUGCACUGUAAUUCUUACUAUCAGAGCAAGGUGCCAACGUGUUCUAACUGCAGAUGAUGGCUUACAGCAGACCUCUGACAAAAGCCAUUUGAUGAGUUAGGUAUACUGUAAAUACCUAUUUGGGGCUAUAUUACUACCUUAUCAUAUAUUAUUUAGAAUUUCAUCCUGAUUGUCUGUGGUUAUUUAUUACAUGCUUACAUACCAGUUAGUUCAAUAAAAAACAAAUUUCUGUGAAUUUAGCUGAAUAAAGCUCUGUUUGUUCUUGUUAGUUAUAAGAAGUCUYGUUCUUUGUAUGCAUUAUCUCAGUUUCUGGGCAUUUUUCCCCUUCAUUUACUCCAAAAAUUACUUCAAUACUAAUGAAUACUGAAAGACAGCCAAGACAGGAUGAACUUUUGGACAAUUUAUGCAAACACAACCGAUGAGAAUAGAUUUACUAUAAACAUGUCAGGCACAAAAGACUUGACUGCUUUUUAAAUACAGUGAUACUGGAAGAGAUUUAUGGAUAUUUUCAACUGUUCAUUAAAGAGAAAAAUAUUUUGA